AAUAGAUACCCAGGUAGUCCACGCCGUAAACGAUGAGUGCUAAGUGUUGGGGGGUUUCCGCCCCUCAGUGCUGCAGCUAACGCAUUAAGCACUCCGCCUGGGGAGUACGGUCGCAAGACUGAAACUCAAAGGAAUUGACGGGGGCCCGCACAAGCGGUGGAGCAUGUGGUUUAAUUCGAAGCAACGCGAAGAACCUUACCAGGUCUUGACAUCCCGGUGACCACUAUGGAGACAUAGUUUCCCCUUCGGGGGCAACGGUGACAGGUGGUGCAUGGUUGUCGUCAGCUCGUGUCGUGAGAUGUUGGGUUAAGUCCCGCAACGAGCGCAACCCUUAUUCUUAGUUGCCAUCAUUCCGUUGGGCACUCUAAGGAGACUGCCGGUGAUAAACCGGAGGAAGGUGGGGAUGACGUCAAAUCAUCAUGCCCCUUAUGACCUGGGCUACACACGUGCUACAAUGGACGGUACAAACGGUUGCCAACCCGCGAGGGGGAGCUAAUCCGAUAAAACCGUUCUCAGUUCGGAUUGUAGGCUGCAACUCGCCUACAUGAAC
rnacentral:rRNA from 1 species